AAUUUUUAUAAACCUGACAUCAUUUAAUGUUUUCUUUUCCUUUAUUUUUGCAUUCACUUUUUCAGCUGGACAUGCCUAAUGAUCAGAUACUUGCCAAUCUGGACAGUAUUAUUAAAGACAUUUGCAAACACAAAUCUUCAAAGCAUGAAGAUUGUCCUGUUGUGGUUCGCCGGCAGCAGGUGCAGAUGGCUGAGGUCUCGGAGAGCGAGGACUCAGAUGAGGGGCCUGCGUGUGAUGCAGGGAUGGCACCAGGACCAUCAGGGAGUAGAAGGCUGCCUUCGGAGAUUGUGGAGGCUGGCAGCAGUGAUGAAGAGGCCCCUGAAGAGCCUGUGCCCAGAGCGCAUGCACGCAGGGCUGCUCGAAGGGAAGAACAGCUGUAGCAGCACAGGUGACUUGGGAGUAAGGCUGCAAGCCCUCCCUUAAGAGAUAAAAGCCAGCUGAGAAACUGGAGUUCUUUGCAGGAAGCAAAGAAGUUUUUGCACUCAAGCCUUGUGGACGUUCGGAUUAUCUUGGUUGGUGUUUGGAAACUCUUUGUGUUUGAAAUAUUUCUUAGUAACUUUAUCUAGUGUUCUUGGCAGCCUUGCACAACCUUGGCAAGGCUUGUUCUUAUCAGAGACAAUUAGUUUGAAACAGCCUUUUAACUGUGAAGGGAUGGAAUUCGUAAAGAAUAAUUAAAAGGCUUUGCUGUUACCUCUGUUUCAUGUUUGUUUCCUUGGAACAAGGUUUGGGUCAGAACAUGUCCC
rnacentral:lncRNA from 1 species